GCCUGGGUGGCUCAGUCGGUUGAGCAUCUGACUUUGGCUCAGGUCAUGAUCUCAGGGUCCUGGGAUUGAGUCCCACAUUGGGCU
rnacentral:tRNA from 1 species